GACGAACGCUGGCGGCGUGCCUAACACAUGCAAGUCGAACGGGGUAAUCCUUCGGGGUUACUUAGUGGCGAACGGGUGAGUAACGCGUGAGAAACCUGCCUUUCAGUGGGGGACAACAGUUGGAAACGACUGCUAAUACCGCAUAAAUGUACACGGACCGCAUGAUCUGUGUACCAAAGCUUUAUGUGCUGAAAGAUGGUCUCGCGUCUGAUUAGCUAGUUGGUGAGGUAACGGCCACCAAGGCGACGAUCAGUAGCCGGUCUGAGAGGAUGAACGGCCACAUUGGGACUGAGAUACGGCCCAGACUCCUACGGGAGGCAGCAGUGGGGAAUAUUGGGCAAUGGGGGAAA
rnacentral:rRNA from 1 species